CACGUAGGAGGCGAGCGUUGUCCGGAAUCAUUGGGCGUAAAGAGCGCGCAGGCGGCUUGGCAAGUCGGGUGUGAAAUCCCGGGGCUCAACCCCGGGACUGCAUUCGAUACUGUCAGGCUAGAGGUAGGUAGGGGAGAUCGGAAUUCCUGGUGUAGCGGUGAAAUGCGUAGAUAUCGGGAGGAACACCAGUGGCGAAGGCGACUACCUGGCCUGUUCUUGACGCUGAGGCGCGAAAGCUAGGGGAGCAAACGGG
rnacentral:rRNA from 1 species